rnacentral:rRNA from 1 species
UACGAAGGGGGCUAGCGUUGCUCGGAUUGACUGGGCGUAAAGGGCGCGUAGGCGGCUCCGAAGGUGGCGUGUGAAAUCCCCCGGCUCAACCGGGGAAGUGCGCGCCAAACCACGGUUCUUGAGGGCGGUAGGGGGGACUGGAACUCUCGGUGGAGCGGUGAAAUGCGUAGAUAUCGAGAGGAACACCGGCGGCGAAGGCGAGUCCCUGGUCCGCAUCUGACGCUGAGGCGCGAAAGCGUGGGGAGCAAACAGG